CCCUCUUUCAUAGUUUAAAUUUUAAAACAUUAUUUUUUCACAAUAAAAUUGACU
rnacentral:tRNA from 1 species